rfam:Eubacterium sp. 68-3-10 unitig_0:quiver, whole genome shotgun sequence.
AAGCGCCGUAUACGCGAACCGUACGUACGGUGCUGUGAGAGGACGGGGGAAAACUCCCCCUCCUACUCGAU